rnacentral:rRNA from 1 species
GACGAACGCNGGCGGCGUGCUUAACACAUGCAAGUCGAACGAAGAGCGAUGGAAGCUUGCUUCUAUCAAUCUUAGUGGCGAACGGGUGAGUAACGCGUAAUCAACCUGCCCUUCAGAGGGGGACAACAGUUGGAAACGACUGCUAAUACCGCAUACGAUCUAACCUUGGCAUCGAGGAUGGAUGAAAGGUGGCCUCUAUUUAUAAGCUAUCACUGAAGGAGGGGAUUGCGUCUGAUUAGCUAGUUGGAGGGGUAACGGCCCACCAAGGCGAUGAUCAGUAGCCGGUCUGAGAGGAUGAACGGCCACAUUGGGACUGAGACACGGCCCAGACUCCUACGGGAGGCAGCAGUGGGGAAUCUUCCGCAAUGGACGAGAGUCUGACGGAGCAACGCCGCGUGAGUGAUGACGGCCUUCGGGUUGUAAAGCUCUGUUAAUCGGGACGAAAGGCCUUCUUGCGAAUAGUGAGAAGGAUGAC